rnacentral:rRNA from 1 species
CCGUACACAAAAGCGCAUGUGCUGUGAGCUCGAUGAGUAGGGCGGGACACGUGGUAUCCUGUCUGAAUAUGGGGGGACCAUCCUCCAAGGCUAAAUACUCCUGACUGACCGAUAGUGAACCAGUACCGUGAGGGAAAGGCGAAAAGAACCCCGGCGAGGGGAGUGAAAAAGAACCUGAAACCGUGUACGUACAAGCAGUGGGAGCACAGGUUUACCUGUGUGACUGCGUACCUUUUGUAUAAUGGGUCAGCGACUUAUAUUCUGUAGCAAGGUUAACCGUAUAGGGGAGCCGUAGGGAAACCGAGUCUUAACCGGGCGUUAAGUUGCAGGGUAUAGACCCGAAACCCGGUGAUCUAGCCAUGGGCAGGUUGAAGGUUGGGUAACACUAACUGGAGGACCGAACCGACUAAUGUUGAAAAAUUAGCGGAUGACCUGUGGCUGGGGGUGAAAGGCCAAUCAAACCGGGAGAUAGCUGGUUCUCCCCGAAAGCUAUUUAGGUAGCGCCUCGUGAAUUCAUCUCCGGGGGUAGAGCACUGUUUCGGCUAGGGGGCCAUCCCGGCUUACCAACCCGAUGCAAACUGCGAAUACCGGAGAAUGUUAUCACGGGAGACACACGGCGGGUGCUAACGUCCGUCGUGAAGAGGGAAACAACCCAGACCGCCAGCUAAGGUCCCAAAGUCAUGGUUAAGUGGGAAACGAUGUGGGAAGGCCCAGACAGCCAGGAUGUUGGCUUAGAAGCAGCCAUCAUUUAAAGAAAGCGUAAUAGCUCACUGGUCGAGUCGGCCUGCGCGGAAGAUGUAACGGGGCUAAACCAUGCACCGAAGCUGCGGCAGCGAACGUAUCACCCAAGACAACUUUACGGAGUUGACGAUUGACGGAGCGAAGCGACGUCAAAGCGUUCAUUAAAGUCGAGUUGGCUUAGGGAUACGUUCGUUGGGUAGGGGAGCGUUCUGUAAGCCUGUGAAGGUGUGUCGUGAGGCAUGCUGGAGGUAUCAGAAGUGCGAAUGCUGACAUAAGUAACGAUAAAGCGGGUGAAAAGCCCGCUCGCCGGAAGACCAAGGGUUCCUGUCCAACGUUAAUCGGGGCAGGGUGAGUCGACCCCUAAGGCGAGGCCGAAAGGCGUAGUCGAUGGGAAACGGGUUAAUAUUCCCGUACUUGGUGUUACUGCGAAGGGGGGACGGAGAAGGCUAUGUUGGCCGGGCGACGGUUGUCCCGGUUUAAGCGUGUAGGUGUGUGUUCCAGGUAAAUCCGGUUCACUUUAACACUGAGGCGUGACGACGAGGCACUACGGUGCUGAAGCAACAAAUGCCCUGCUUCCAGGAAAAGCCUCUAAGCAUCAGGUAACACGAAAUCGUACCCCAAACCGACACAGGUGGUCAGGUAGAGAAUACCAAGGCGCUUGAGAGAACUCGGGUGAAGGAACUAGGCAAAAUGGUGCCGUAACUUCGGGAGAAGGCACGCUGACACGUAGGUGAAGUGAUUUACUCAUGGAGCUGAAGUCAGUCGAAGAUACCAGCUGGCUGCAACUGUUUAUUAAAAACACAGCACUGUGCAAACACGAAAGUGGACGUAUACGGUGUGACGCCUGCCCGGUGCCGGAAGGUUAAUUGAUGGGGUCAGCGUAAGCGAAGCUCCUGAUCGAAGCCCCGGUAAACGGCGGCCGUAACUAUAACGGUCCUAAGGUAGCGAAAUUCCUUGUCGGGUAAGUUCCGACCUGCACGAAUGGCGUAAUGAUGGCCAGGCUGUCUCCACCCGAGACUCAGUGAAAUUGAACUCGCUGUGAAGAUGCAGUGUACCCGCGGCAAGACGGAAAGACCCCGUGAACCUUUACUAUAGCUUGACACUGAACAUUGAGCCUUGAUGUGUAGGAUAGGUGGGAGGCUUUGAAGUGUGGACGCCAGUCUGCAUGGAGCCGACCUUGAAAUACCACCCUUUAAUGUUUGAUGUUCUAACGUGGACCCGUAAUCCGGGUUGCGGACAGUGUCUGGUGGGUAGUUUGACUGGGGCGGUCUCCUCCUAAAGAGUAACGGAGGAGCACGAAGGUUGGCUAAUCCUGGUCGGACAUCAGGAGGUUAGUGCAAUGGCAUAAGCCAGCUUGACUGCGAGCGUGACGGCGCGAGCAGGUGCGAAAGCAGGUCAUAGUGAUCCGGUGGUUCUGAAUGGAAGGGCCAUCGCUCAACGGAUAAAAGGUACUCCGGGGAUAACAGGCUGAUACCGCCCAAGAGUUCAUAUCGACGGCGGUGUUUGGCACCUCGAUGUCGGCUCAUCACAUCCUGGGGCUGAAGUAGGUCCCAAGGGUAUGGCUGUUCGCCAUUUAAAGUGGUACGCGAGCUGGGUUUAGAACGUCGUGAGACAGUUCGGUCCCUAUCUGCCGUGGGCGCUGGAGAACUGAGGGGGGCUGCUCCUAGUACGAGAGGACCGGAGUGGACGCAUCACUGGUGUUCGGGUUGUCAUGCCAAUGGCACUGCCCGGUAGCUAAAUGCGGAAGAGAUAAGUGCUGAAAGCAUCUAAGCACGAAACUUGCCCCGAGAUGAGUUCUCCCUGAGACUUAGAGUCUCCUGAAGGAACGUUGAAGACGACGACGUUGAUAGGCCGGGUGUGUAAGCGCAGCGAUGCGUUGAGCUAACCGGUACUAAUGAACCGUGAGGCUUAACCUUACA